ensembl:lncRNA
GGUAGGGUGAAACAGCACCACUGUCCCGCCCAAUCCCCACUGUUAUUGUUUUUGUUGACGAAGCGGAGCCGAGGAGCGUCGCGCAAUGUGGUAUGCAGUGCACUCCUCCCUCAUCACGGCUCUCUAGUGUUCCCUCUCCCAGUCAGAACAACCCAGACGGGCUCUACUCCUCUUAUCAGAUGGAGCCAGGCAGGCAGGACAGGACGGGGCCAGUGUGGAUCCAGCUGCUCCCAGGAGCAGGGCGCAGUCCCACUUAAUAGGUCUUCCCGGCAUCCCAGGCCUCGCCCCACUGGCAUCCCAGUCACAGCCAGGCAGGCUACUCCGUGGGUGGCACGCCUUGGAAACAGGCGGCAGAGACAGAGGAGGUGGGUACGGGGGAGACUGGUAAAGACAACCCAGUCCGCCUGGUGUUCCAGAGAACUUUGCCGUUAGACCAAUUGCUUCCCGAGGACCAGUAAAAAGCAAUGGCUCCGACAUGGAGUCCCAUGACGCAUCAUGCUGAAUCUGAUCAGAACAUAUUGAGAGUUCAAAUGACACUUGCUUGAAUAUGCAGCUUGAGCUACAUCGAAAUGUUGUCAACGUUGAGCGAGUUUCUGUUUUCAUAUUGGUGGUGCUACCUGCUUAGAAGGCCGGUCAGGGUCUUGGUGUUCUAAAUCAUCCUAAUUGAUGGGUGUCGGAUGUGUUAGUAUUAUCAUAGGUGCUCUGAGAUUUGUCUCCAAAUAAAUAAAGCUUUAAUUUAUAAGCAUGGACGUAUAUUC